AAGGAUGAUGGGAAGCCUGACCUUGUUUUUCGGCUUGUAGGGAACUCCACCCGCAAUCCAGUCUGGCCUGAGCAUUUUGCUCCGGCACCUGUGCGUGGAAAACAGCUGAGCCCAGGAGGUUCCAGACCCUGGAUACCUGAGACACAUCGACUUGCUUCUUAGGUUUGGAGUGCAUAAUGAGGAGAAAUAAAAAUAGAAAGAUCUCCAGAAAGAAGCCAUGGGAAGAUUCAAGGCUUCCCAGUCCAAGCUAAUACCUGUGGACACUUGACCAAGUGAGCUGAGAAAACUGGAUUCCUGGCAAAACAAGCGUAACUAGACUCAGGCAAGGGUGGAGCACAGAGGGCAACUAGAUGAAAUGAAAAGAAUGCCCAGGCAUCCCAGUGCCCCCAUUGAUGUUCCAGAACUUCGUCGACCAUGCAGAAUACCUUCCAGCCCCGUGAACACUAAUCACUCAGUCAGUAAUGGUGAACUUCUAACUGCGCUUUGGCUCAAUAUUCUCAUGAUUGAUGAUGGCUAUUUGGUACUGGACAGUCAAUUGGAGUGUUGUUUGCUGGGGAGGACCACCUCUCCAGGUAAAAUCUAAACAUCAAGAAAAUCAACAACCCAAUUAAAAUAAUCUAGAGCACUAAACAGAGCGUUCUCAAAAGAAGCACUAUAAAUGGCUAAGAAACACAAGAUCCUUUGUCAUCAGGGAAACACAGAAUCUCACUUUUCAGUUUUCAUCUUACUGUAGUCAGAAUGGUUAUCAUCAAGAAUGCCAGCGACAUGGAUGUAGAGGACAGAUUUCUUCAUUGUCUAAGUCUCAGGAAAUAUUGCAGAAGAGGAGUCAGGGACUAAAAGAUAUAAGAUAGGAAGGGCUGCAAAGUUCCAUCCUAGAGACUCAAUACAGCCAUUGCAAUGAUGAACUCACAAAAACUGCAUUUCCCUGAGCUUAGCCUGCUCAAGACAUUGAAAGUAUUUCUAAGUAGCUUUUCAUGUUGUGAAUGUACCUGUCAGCUGUUGAAGCAGUCUGGUUUCUGGUUCAGAGCUCUUAGGGACAGAGUUGUCUUGAACAUUUGCUUAAACAGGCUUUUGUGUAGACAUCAGCUGCUUUUUUUUAAAUCUCUGAAAUAAAUGCCUAGGCGUUCAAUGGCAAUGUUAUAUCAGUAUGUAUUUAGCUUAGUUUUAAAAUGAGAAACUGUCAAAUACUUUUGCAGAAUUACUGGACCAUUUUACAUCCCUGCCAACAAUGUAAGAUUGAUCCAGCUCCCCACAUUCUCAUAAACAUUUGUUUUUGUUCCUUUAAAAAUAUAUAUAGGAAAAAAAAAAAAAGAAAACAAGUUAACCAUUCCAUUUAUUGAGAAUUCACUUACCAUUCAGUGGAUUGCUUAGAUAUGUAGGAUUCAGUUUUUAGUACACAUACAAGGUUGUAUAUCAAUUACUACUAAUUUCAGAACAUUUUCCAUUACCAUAGAAAAAGAAACCCAAUAUUCAUUCUCAUCUCUCCUCUAUGGAUUUACCUACUCUAGAUAUACCAAAUAAAUGGAAUUUUUAUAAUACACGACCUUUUGUUUGGCUUCUUCAUUUAGAAUAGAAUUUCAAGGUUUCUCCAUAGUCUACCAGCCUUCAAAUUAAUUUCAGUUGUGCUUUUAGAUUUCAGAAUUUCUUUUCAUUUUCUGUUUAUAAUUUCAAAAUUAUUGUUUAAUAUCUAUUUAAUAAAACAGGUGUUUUGAAAUAUAUUUUAUUAGUUCUUUGAGUAUUUAAUAUAUACUUUGGUCAUUUUCAACCCCUUCCCCAACUCCUUUUAGAUUAUUUGCCAACAGCUUCUCUGGUGGGGUGGGUUCACUUUCCCUUUCCAUGCAGAGCUCUAGUCUAGCUUAGGCUUGCACAGGUCUUUUGCUGUCACAACCACUGUGAGUUCAUAUACAUAACUAAGUGAACAUAAUAUUAACCUGACAUUUAUACUCAUAUAUUAAUAAACAGAGACCCACAACUGACUAUGGUGUGGAGAAAAAGACUGGGAAUCUCUUAUUCUAGUCUUUUCUAGAUCAAAUCCAUUAUGGUAAGGUAAUAUAUUCCAUAUGAUUUCGAUUGUUUUAUAAUUGGUAGAAUUUGUUUUAUAGCCCAAGAAGCAAUCUAGGCUCCUGUCUUUGAUACACAUAUUUCCAUUCAUCUGAAUUCUCUAUGCACUAAUUUGAGAACUAAUUAUUUGCACAAGAAUUCCCCAUUCAUUAUUUCCACUUUACUUCAGUAGCUACAGUCAAAGUCUAAAGGAAUGGUAAGUUUCUUAAAUUUCUUCUGCUUUAUAUGUGUUUGAGGAUGUGCGUGGAACACACUGCUAAUGUGAAUUUCAGGACAAGAGACAGCAUUUCUUAGCUGUAAUUUAUAUAAUUGCCUGCAGGUGGUAGCAAAGCAACACAAAAAAAUCAACUCCUUUUCCUACAUCCUUUGUUUCAGUUUGGGGUGUGUGUGUGUGUGUGUGUGUGUGUGUGUUUGCUUGUUUGUUGUGGUUUUGUUUUGAUAUAGGGUUUCUCUGUGUAGCCCUGGCUGUCCUGGACUGUCCUGAACUAGCUUUGUAGAUGAGGCAGGCCUCCAACUCACAGAGCUCCACCUGCCUCUGCCUCUCACUGGAUUAAAGGUGUGCAUCAGCAAGCCUGGCCACCUUGCCCUGGCCAUCGUUUGUGUUUUAAAGAAACAGAAAUGAGUGUUUUCUGCUGCCUUGAAAGCUGGUAAACUCGCUUGGAAAAUAUCCCUUUUAAAUAUGUUUGCCAAGUUUGGAAAUGAAAAAGAUUUAUUAUUUGUAAGUGCCAUUUACCAAUGGUAGGCUAAGUUUACAUUUGCAUGUUUUAUUGGCUAUUUUUCCCCUCUAAUUUAUCUAUUUGUUUUUAUUGUUCAUUUUCCUGUUCAAGGUUAAGAGAAAAACUCUGCUUUUCCUAUCUUACCGUUAUUAAAGUAAUACAUCUCAUUAUGGAAAAUUAAAAAUACUAGAAUCACUCUAAAAAGAAAAAACCCUACAUAGUACCAUUAUUACCAUCUUAAUACAUUUUACUGAUUCCUAUAUUAUUAAUGUGUUGGUGGGAUAUUGUGAGCUUAAAUUAUUUAUAUUGUCCAGUUUAUUUCCAAAUUUCUAAAUAAAAUUGAUCGAGACCC
ensembl:processed_transcript